rnacentral:tRNA from 1 species
GGGGAUGUGGCGGAAUGGUAGACGCUGCGGACUUAAAAUCCGCUGCUAGCAAUAGCGUGCGGGUUCAAGUCCCGCCAUCCCCA